rnacentral:rRNA from 1 species
AACGAACGCUGGCGGCGUGCCUAACACAUGCAAGUCGUGCGAGAAAGUUCCUUCGGGAGCGAGUAAAGCGGCGCACGGGUGAGUAACACGUAGGUAACCUGCCCCCCAGUCUGGAACAACUAGAGGAAACUCUAGCUAAUGCCGGAUGAGACCACGAUCCCUUCGGGGGUUGCGGCCAAAGAUGGCCUCUACUUGUAAGCUAUCGCUGAGGGAUGGGCCUGCGGGCCAUUAGCUUGUUGGUGAGGUAACGGCUCACCAAGGCUGUGAUGGCUAGCUGGUCUGAGAGGAUGACCAGCCACACUGGGACUGAGACACGGCCCAGACUCCUACGGGAGGCAGCAGUGGGAAUAUUGCGCAAUGGGCGAAGCCUGACGCAGCGACGCCGCGUGGGUGA